GUUACGGCGUAGCGUUUGAUAGCCCCUAAGUAGGUCGAUUCACAUCUAGAAUACAUGCGACAAUCUCAGGUCUAAGGACAAAGCGUAUAUGUUGUUUAAAGAGAGAACUACUUCUCGUGUUGGGUCAGUCCUAACACAUGUCUCCACAUGUGUCCAUAUUAUUAGUUCAACAUCUCCAUGUCCAUGACUUGUGAAACAUAGUCAUCA
rnacentral:lncRNA from 1 species